rnacentral:rRNA from 1 species
UACGAAGGGGGGCUAGCGUUGCUCGGAAUCACUGGGCGUAAAGGGCGCGUAGGCGGCGUUUUUAAGUCGGGGGUGAAAGCCUGUGGCUCAACCACAGAAUGGCCUCGAUACUGGGACGCUUGAGUAUGGUAGAGGUUGGUGGAACUGCGAGUGUAGAGGUGAAAUUCGUAGAUAUUCGCAAGAACACCGGUGGCGAAGGCGGCCAACUGGACCAUUACUGGACGCUGAGGCUGCGAAAGCGUGG